rnacentral:lncRNA from 1 species
AUAAUUUAAACCAGCAAGCUGAAAUGUAAAUUUAACUGAGAAGGCAUAAAGUGGCUUUUGCUUGAGACUGGUAACAUUCAUUUACCAAUGUUGCCUUUGAUUUCUAAACAAAUACUCAACCAUUUGCUACACCAGACAUAGGGAGACUUUGCUCCCCCUUCCCCAUUAUUUUGGACUUCAGUUCUGACAAACCGCAGACAUCAUGGCCAAUUGUAAGAGAUGAUUGAGUUCUCAUCCCAAAUAUCUUGAGGACUACACAUUUUCUUGAUGUGUACCUAAAACUUUAAAAUGAAGCUGCUUAAUUUGCAUCCACAAAUUAAGCAACCUUAAUUUGUGGAUGCACUGAGGAGGAAUAGUUUGGGUUGUUUGAAUGUGUAUGAUAGUUUUCCAUGGACUGUUCUCCCACUCUUUCUUUUGGUGGGUGAUAUUAGUGUUGGAAACAUAAGAACUUGGAUGGAAGAAAAGAAAUAAGCUGUAAGUGGAGCUUUCAGCUAUUAUCAGCCAAAUGAGAAAAUGACAGUGGCCUGAAGUACAGAUUAUUAUAUUUGUAAAGAAAUUGUUAAAAGAGUAGGAAAUUGUCAGUUUAGACUAGAGGAUUUGGACCAAAUCCCUGCAAUCUGAGCUAAUUAUUUCUCCAGUGUUCCAUUUGCUCAAAGGCAGAACAAAACACAAGCACUCAUGUAGCAAUGUUAGUAGUUUAUUCAUAUAUUUAUUUCAUUACAUAAACAUAGACAACAACACUGGUUAUAGAAAAAUACCCUGUGUUUAAAUGGGGGGGGGGGAAUGUGGAUGAGGUUUAUGUAUAUAGCGAAUUCACAGAACAGAGAAACAGGAAGGGUGCUGCUCUGAAUGAAAUCCCUUGGCUUGUAUGUCCUCACCCUGGGCUUGCCAAACCCUGCAGUGUUUGAGUAGGCCUCUUCAGGAGCAGCAAUUAAAAAGAAAGAAAGAAAGAAAGAAGCUGUGCUUCUGUUAGACCUUUGCCUCUUCCAGUACAAACCACCCAAAAAAGGGGAAGGAAGACCCUUUGGGAAAGAGCCACUGCUGGAGCACAUAUAUUUAAUUCUUGCCAUCCCCAGGUUAGUCUUUCAAAGGACCCUAUUGAAACCUUAGACAACACUUGCCAGGCAGUGUCUACAAUUUAUAGACUAAGUAUGAAAAAUUAAAUUAAGUUUCUUAUAGUCCAAAAUCUGCCUUUCAAAAUGUGCAUUGCAUUAUCCUGGCAUUUCCUCCACUAAAUGCCAGAGUGCUGGGAUCUAUGUUCCGAUGUCCUUAAGUAUGACAAAUUAAAUUACGUUUCUUAUAGUCCAAAAUCCGCCUUUCAAAAUGUGCAUUACAUUAU